rnacentral:lncRNA from 1 species
GGGUGAAGAAUGCAUAAGGCCUGACCCUGCUUAUAUGUGGUAAGGCUUUUUGGUUAUCACAUAUAUAAGGUAAUAGACAUCUCACUAGUAUAGGCAGUUGCUUGAAUACGUGUUGCUUAUGGUUAAGUGUUGCUACUUCUUUGAUUUAUGAUACUGCUAAAAGAUGACACAGUUUGUUUUAUUGUUUUCCUUUAUCAGCAAGUUUCGAUAUUGAAUGCAUUUUACAUAUUGGUCCAGAUUCCAGG